GACAGAGGGUGCAAACGUUGUUCGGAUUUACUGGGCGUAAAGCGCGUGUAGGCGGCUUUGCAAGUCGGAUGUGAAAAGCCCACGGCUCAACCGUGGAAGUGCAUCCGAAAACUGCAUGGCUUGAGUCUCGGAGAGGAAGGUGGAAUGCUUGGUGUAGAGGUGAAAUUCGUAGAUAUCAAGCAGAACACCUGCGGCGAAGGCGGCCUUCUGGACGAUGACUGACGCUGAGACGCGAAAGCGUGGGGAGCAAACAGG
rnacentral:rRNA from 1 species